rnacentral:rRNA from 1 species
AUUGAACGCUGGCGGCAGGCUUAACACAUGCAAGUCGAGCGGGCAUAGCAAUAUGUCAGCGGCAGACGGGUGAGUAACGCGUGGGAACGUACCUUUUGGUUCGGAACAACACAGGGAAACUUGUGCUAAUACCGGAUAAGCCCUUACGGGGAAAGAUUUAUCGCCGAAAGAUCGGCCCGCGUCUGAUUAGCUAGUUGGUGAGGUAAUGGCUCACCAAGGCGACGAUCAGUAGCUGGUCUGAGAGGAUGAUCAGCCACAUUGGGACUGAGACACGGCCCAAGCUCCUACGGGAGGCAGCAGUGGGGAAUAUUGGACAAUGGGCGCAAGCCUGAUCCAGCCAUGCCGCGUGAGUGAUGAAGGCCCUAGGGUUGUAAAGCUCUUUUGUGCGGGAAGAUAAUGACGGUACCGCAAGAAUAAGCCCCGGCUAACUUCGUGCCAGCCGCCGCCGUAA